GAUGAAUGCUGGCGGCAUGCCUAAUACAUGCAAGUCGAGCGGUAACAUGACUAGCUUGCUAGUUGAUGACGAGCGGCGGACGGCUGAGUAACGCGUGGGAACGGACCCCAAACUGAGGGAUAACGCACCGAAAGGUGUGCUAAUACCGCAUGUGAUCUUCGGAUUAAAGCUUUCGAGCGGUUUGGGACUGGCCUGCGUACGAUUAGAUAGUUGGUGAGGUAAUGGCUCACCAAGUCGACGAUCGUUAGAUGGUUUGAGAGGAUGAUCAUCCAGACUGGGACUGAGACACGGCCCAG
rnacentral:rRNA from 1 species